rnacentral:SRP_RNA from 2 species
UUUUCGGUCCCUCGCAAUGAAGUCUGGUUUACCAGGUCAGGUUCGGAAGAAAGCAGCCAGAGUCAGAAUUUUCGUGUGCCGAGACUAAGCCGGAAAGGUU